AAGUGGACUGGGCUAUGUGAUAUUAAUAAGUUUCUACACAAUGAUAAUUUGUGGAUUUGAAAUUUGUGUGAAAGAUUACUCUUCUCUGUAGGAAAUUUGGAGGACUACCCCCAGAGUUUUUUUGGCUGGACUUCCUAAAAUUAUUGACAAUUGUCACAUUAAUUGGAACUCCGAUCAAAGACAGGUCCUCUGGAUUUUACAAAUAGCAUAAGCCUAGCAGAUUAACACAAAAAACUUGCAAUGGAUGAUGAAGAAAGAUCAAGAUCAAUCUCAAAGAGAAAACCCCAUCUAGGUGGUCACAGAUUAACACUACUAGUCAUGAUCAAUUUGGAAUAAGAUUAGGUAAAAGAUUCCAGUUGUUGAUUGAUGGUGUUUGGUUCGGAUUUGUAUUGCUAUUCCUAAGCAUUCCUUCAUUUGUUGGCUAACGUUCAUGGAUAGAAUUCUCCCUCAUGACAGGGUUGCUAAAUGGGGAUACAAUUGUGAUCUUGUUUGUAUGUUGUUUGUAGUUUCCAUGCAUUUUAAACUUACUUUUUUUUUGGGUCAUUUUCUUGAAUGUUAUCGUGUCAGGCUGUCAUUUAUGUCUAAAGAGAUAUUCAUGUAUUUGGAGAAGUCUAAAAUCGAUAUAAGAG